rnacentral:rRNA from 1 species
GACGAACGCUGGCGGCGUGCUUAACACAUGCAAGUCGAACGGUAAGGCCCUUCGGGGUACACGAGUGGCGAACGGGUGAGUAACACGUGGGUGAUCUGCCCUGCACUUCGGGAUAAGCCUGGGAAACUGGGUCUAAUACCGGAUAGGACCACUGCCCGCAUGGGCGGUGGUGGAAAGCUUUUGCGGUGUGGGAUGGGCCCGCGGCCUAUCAGCUUGUUGGUGGGGUGAUGGCCUACCAAGGCGACGACGGGUAGCCGGCCUGAGAGGGUGACCGGCCACCCUGGGACUGGGAUACGGCCCAGACUCCUACGGGAGGCAGCAGUGGGGAAUAUUGCACAAUGGGCGCAAGCCUGAUGCAGCGACGCCGCGUGAGGGAUGACGGCCUUCGGGUUGUAAACCUCUUUCAGCACCGACGAAGCGCAAGUGACGGUAGGUGCAGAAGAAGGACCGGCCAACUACGUGCCAGCAGCCGCCGUAA